AAGCCAUGAUGUGGGCAUUGAGACCAAUAGCCCUUGAACCUCUCCCAAGCUUCACUAAAGCCCUCUACGUUCUUCUGCUGAAAGCUAGAGAUCUUCAUUCCUGAUCUU
rnacentral:snoRNA from 1 species